CCUGGCUCAGGACGAACGCUGGCGGCGUGCCUAAUACAUGCAAGUAGAACGCAUGAAGGAGGAGCUUGCUUCUCCGGAUGAGUUGCGAACGGUGUGAGUAACGCGUAGGUAACCUGCCUGGUAGCGGGGGAUAACUAUUGGAAACGAUAGCUAAUACCGCAUAAGAGUAGAUGUUGCAUGACAUUUGCUUAAAAGGUGCAAUUGCAUCACUACCAGAUGGACCUGCGUUGUAUUAGCUAGUUGGUGGGGUAACGGCUCACCAAGGCGACGAUACAUAGCCGACCUGAGAGGGGGUUCGUCCACACUGGGACUGAGACACGCCCCAGACUCCUAGGG
rnacentral:rRNA from 1 species